CCUACGGGGGGCUGCAGUGGGGAAUCUUGCACAAUGGGCGGAAGCCUGAUGCAGCGACGCCGCGUGAGGGACGAAGGUCUUCGGAUCGUAAACCUCUGUCCAAAGGGACGAAGGAGUGACGGUACCUUUGGAGGAAGCCCCGGCCAACUACGUGCCAGCAGCCGCGGUAAGACGUAGGGGGCGAGCGUUGUCCGGAAUCAUUGGGCGUAAAGGGCGCGUAGGCGGUGACGUAAGUCAGGCGUGAAAGGCAUCGGCUCAACCGACGCACAUAGCCUGAUACUACGUUGCUAGAGUGCAGGAGAGGAGAGUGGAAUUCCAGGUGUAGCGGUGAAAUGCGUAGAUAUCUGGAAGAACACCAGUGGCGAAGGCGGCUCUCUGGACUGUAACUGACGCUGAGGCGCGAAAGCUGGGGGAGCAAACAGGAUUAGAUACCCCAGUAGUC
rnacentral:rRNA from 1 species